rnacentral:ncRNA from 1 species
AUAGAGCAGCAGCUCGAGGUACGGCGCCGGUCGAUCGUCUGAUCGAGCCCAAUAAAACGCACACAAUACUUGUCCCUAUCUACUUUCUAGCGAAACCACUGCCAAGGGAACGGGCUUGGAAAAAUUAGCGGGGAAAGAAGACCCUGUUGAGCUUGACUCUUCUCUGGCACUGUAAGGAGUCAUGAGAGGUGUAGCAUAAGUGGGAGAGGUGUUUUUUCGGCAUUUCGCCAGUGAAAUACCACUACCUUCAUUGUUUCUUUACUUACUCGGUUGGGCGGAGUCUAUGCGCCGAGGUUCGGUCGUCACUGUGUUCUAGCGCCAAGCGUGUAAG